GUGCUAUGGUGUUAGGAAUAAAUGAUGCAGUCCUCUGCAGGCUCAUAUAAAAAGUCAGCUAAGCUUAUGGACUCCAGAAAUAUUUUUAAAUCGCCACUUUUAUUGAGCACUAUGUGUUCUCAUUAAGCCAGGGCAAGAAAACAACUUGGACAGCAUAAAAGCUUAUGCAUCUUGAAGAAGGCAACAAAUCAAGAUUCUGACUUUUCAAGAAGAGAUGCAAUUACAUAAAGAAGGUGSGGUGGCUGCACAUAACUGUGGUGUUUUCUGUGAAGAUGAGAAUGGACCAGCUACUCUUGUGCAGAUAAUAUCUUCAGACAGGCUGGACACCAUCUGUCACAGUCUGAUUUAAUUUUAUGGUCACAGCAAAGUGAACUGACGGUGUGGAAUUUUUCACAGAAGUCAGCUGGAAGUGUGUCAUGGUUUUCAGUAAUUGAAGGAACAGAUUAAAUAAUUUCAUGUACAUUGCAACACUCCUGUUUCUCCAAKACUUGGAUGCUUGAAGCUAUUCAUCAAGUUCAU